GACCGAUAGUGAACCAGUACCGUGAGGGAAAGGCGAAAAGAACCCCGGCGAGGGGAGUGAAAAAGAACCUGAAACCGUGUACGUACAAGCAGUGGGAGCACAGGUUUACCUGUGUGACUGCGUACCUUUUGUAUAAUGGGUCAGCGACUUAUAUUCUGUAGCAAGGUUAACCGUAUAGGGGAGCCGGAGGGAAACCGAGUCUUAACCGGGCGUUAAGUUGCAGGGUAUAGACCCGAAACCCGGUGAUCUAGCCAUGGGCAGGUUGAAGGUUGGGUAACACUAACUGGAGGACCGAACCGACUAAUGUUGAAAAAUUAGCGGAUGACCUGUGGCUGGGGGUGAAAGGCCAAUCAAACCGGGAGAUAGCUGGUUCUCCCCGAAAGCUAUUUAGGUAGCGCCUCGUGAAUUCAUCUCCGGGGGUAGAGCACUGUUUCGGCUAGGGGGCCAUCCCGGCUUACCAACCCGAUGCAAACUGCGAAUACCGGAGAAUGUUAUCACGGGAGACACACGGCGGGUGCUAACGUCCGUCGUGAAGAGGGAAACAACCCAGACCGCCAGCUAAGGUCCCAAAGUCAUGGUUAAGUGGGAAACGAUGUGGGAAGGCCCAGACAGCCAGGAUGUUGGCUUAGAAGCAGCCAUCAUUUAAAGAAAGCGUAAUAGCUCACUGGUCGAGUCGGCCUGCGCGGAAGAUGUAACGGGGCUAAACCAUGCACCGAAGCUGCGGCAGCGAACGUAUCACCCAAGACAACUUUACGGAGUUGACGAUUGACGGAGCGAAGCGACGUCAAAGCGUUCAUUAAAGUCGAGUUGGCUUAGGGAUACGUUCGUUGGGUAGGGGAGCGUUCUGUAAGCCUGUGAAGGUGUGUCGUGAGGCAUGCUGGAGGUAUCAGAAGUGCGAAUGCUGACAUAAGUAACGAUAAAGCGGGUGAAAAGCCCGCUCGCCGGAAGACCAAGGGUUCCUGUCCAACGUUAAU
rnacentral:rRNA from 1 species